AGAAGAAAUUACACUUCACUUUAGGGUCAGCUUGAAAACUUCUUUGCCACCAGCUUUCCUCCUUUUCCUUUUCCAGUAGUUCCCCUUGAAGCCAUUGAAGACCAAGAAGCCCAGUUCACACAAUGCUUUUGGCAUCAGUGGACCCCUCCUUGCCACGCAUCGAGCAAACCUGCAGCAGCAUGGCAGCUCUGCACCCUGGCACAAUCAGGUGUGAAGGCGUGGGGACAUCAAGAAAAGCAAGCUGCGUGUUCCUCCCCCUUGGCUCACCCCUCCUAGCACUGCAGGACACAGAAGUUGAAAGUUAAGCUUUUGAGUUACCAGCAAUUUCCACUUUGGUGCGUUAUUGACUUUGCUGCAGCGCUUUUAUAAGCCUGUUUAUAAGACAAUAGACAAUGGGAGAGGUUGCUGAGGCUCCCAGUGGACAUAUGUUGACAAUAAACCCCUGUAACAGAGGUCAAAUGUGUGUUCCCAGAAUAGCAGAGGGUAACUUGCUGCCUGGGGAGCGUCACACGGCAAACGAACCGAUACAGAAGAGAAGUCUGAUUGUUUGAGCCACUGAGUCAGCUUGGCCCAAGAAGACUAAUUUUCCAGAAGAUCUGAUCUCUUUACUUGCUGCAAGGAUGUGACAACACGUCUCUCCCAUUGGCAGCGCCAGGAGUUUCAGCGAAAGCCUAAAUCCAUCAGCGCACCAGGAAGCGCAGGAAGCCAAAAGAGCGAAGCCUCUCGUCCCGUUUUCAGCAGAGGGGUCAGAGCUGUGCCCUGCGCAGGGCGCGACGAUGGAUUUAGCGGCAUCCCCGCAGUGCCGGCGCAGGAAGGCGCUCGCAGACGCGCUCCGUGCCCGGCGCCCCCAGCCCGCCCAGGGAUCCCGCCCAAAAGAGCGAAGCCUCUCGUCCCGUUUUCAGCAGAGGGGUCAGAGCUGUGCCCUGCGCAGGGCGCGACGAUGGAUUUAGCGGCAUCCCCGCAGUGCCGGCGCAGGAAGGCGCUCGCAGACGCGCUCCGUGCCCGGCGCCCCCAGCCCGCCCAGGGAUCCCGCCCUGGCGCGGGGGCUCUUCCUUCCCCUCGUCCCUCUGCCACCUCCGAAGAUGACGGGCGAGCCAGGCUCUCCCGCACAUGCCGGGGCCGGUGGCAGGGUGGCACAAAGCCGGCAUUGUGCGCGCUCCGCCGCCCUGAGAGGCGAGCUAAUUGUCUUUCCCAGCUCGGAGCAACAAUUUGCUGGCAGCCAGG
rnacentral:lncRNA from 12 species